UACGUAGGGUGCAAGCGUUGUCCGGAAUUAUUGGGCGUAAAGAGCUCGUAGGCGGUCUGUCGCGUCGGCUGUGAAAACCCGGAGCUCAACUCCGGGCCUGCAGUCGAUACGGGCAGACUGGAGUUCGGCAGGGGAGACUGGAAUUCCUGGUGUAGCGGUGAAAUGCGCAGAUAUCAGGAGGAACACCGGUGGCGAAGGCGGGUCUCUGGGCCGUAACUGACGCUGAGGAGCGAAAGCAUGGGGAGCGAACAGG
rnacentral:rRNA from 1 species